rnacentral:piRNA from 1 species
UNUCCAAAGGAAGAGCUGUUAAGAUGAUUGU